AUUGAACGCUGGCGGCGUGCUUAACACAUGCAAGUCGAGCGGCAGCGCGGGAGCAAUCCUGGCGGAGAGCGGCGAACGGGUGAGUAAUGCUUCGGAAUCUGCCCUUCAGUGGGGAAUAACCAGUCGAAAGACUGGCUAAUACCGCAUACGAACUGAGGUUGAAAGCAGGGGAUCGUAAGACCUUGCGCUGAUGGAUGAGCCGAAGUCGGAUUAGCUAGUUGGUAGGGUAACGGCCUACCAAGGCGACGAUCCGUAGCUGGUCUGAGAGGACGACCAGCCACACUGGGACUGAGACACGGCCCAGACUCCUACGGGAGGCAGCAGUGGGGAAUCUUAGACAAUGGGGGCAACCCUGAUCUAGCCAUGCCGCGUGAGUGAUGAAGGCCCUAGGGUUGUAAAGCUCUUUCAGCUGGGAAGAUAAUGACGGUACCAGCAGAAGAAGCCCCGGCUAACUCCGUGCCAGCAGCCGCGGUAAAGUGUG
rnacentral:rRNA from 1 species